GACGUAGGAUGCAAGCGUUGUCCGGAUUUAUUGGGCGUAAAGAGUUCGUAGGCGGUUUGGUAAGUCUGAUGUUAAAGACCGAGGCUCAACUUCGGAAGUGCAUUGGAUACUGCCAGACUGGAGUGUGGUAGAGGCUAGUGGAAUUCCUAGUGUAGCGGUGAAAUGCGUAGAUAUUAGGAAGAACACCAGUGGCGUAGGCGACUAGCUGGGCCAUAACUGACGCUGAGGAACGAAAGCCAGGGGAGCAAAUGGG
rnacentral:rRNA from 1 species